GGUCCGCAUUGUAAUUUGUAGAGGAUGCUUUGGGUGAAACGCCAGUCUAAGUUCCUUGGAACAGGACGUCAUAGAGGGUGAGAAUCCCGUAUGUGACUGGAAAUGUUAACCUAUGUAAAGCUCCUUCGACGAGUCGAGUUGUUUGGGAAUGCAGCUCUAAAUGGGAGGUAAAUUUCUUCUAAAGCUAAAUAUUGGCGAGAGACCGAUAGCGCACAAGUAGAGUGAUCGAAAGAUGAAAAGCACUUUGGAAAGAGAGUUAAAAAGCACGUGAAAUUGUUGAAAGGGAAGCGCUUGCAAUCAGACUUGUUUAAACUGUUCGGCCGGUCUUCUGACCGGUUUACUCAGUUUGGACAGGCCAGCAUCAGUUUCGGCGGCCGGAUAAAGGCUCUGGGAAUGUGGCCUUCACUUCGGUGAAGGUGUUAUAGCCCAGGGUGUAAUACGGCCAGCCGGGACUGAGGUCCGCGCUUCGGCUAGGAUGCUGGCGUAAUGGUUGUAAGCGACCCGUCUUGA
rnacentral:rRNA from 1 species